UAUUCUAUAAUAGGUAAAAUAAUAAAAAAUAAUAAUUAAACUCAUUCAAUUUCUUAAUUCAAAUCAUGGACUUAGCAAGUUAGGAUGUGAAGCUACUGUCGAGCUCAAGUCGAUUAAAUAUAUUAUUAUUUUAUUUUUUAAAAAAAUAUGUGAUACUGGAAAUUUUUACCAUCCAGUUUAUUUUAAAUUAGUUUUUAUAAUAUUUUUUUUAUAGAAUUAAUUGAUUUUAAUUUUUUUUUUAUAGAUUUUUUUGUUAUCUUGAUUUGUAUUAUAGCACCAACUCCAUGCAGCCUCACGGCCCAUCAAUUAAGGAAUUGAAAGUAACUUCUUUUCGUUUUCUUCUUCUUCUUCUUUGUUUUAUUUGUGCUUGAGCACCCAAAUGUGCCUACUUCUAGCUUAUUUCACUCCUAAAAUACAGUAUUUCCUUCAAUCUCAACAUCUACAAUUCUGGAGAGUCUCGGUAGAGAUGAGUGACCCCAAGCAUGCUUCUCCUUACCCUGCUCAAGUGGGAUUUUCUUUAGAGGAUCACUCGACAAUUGAUAUGUGUCAUGAAGAAUUCUUUUUCUUUCCUUUUGAAUUUUCGUCUUUCCAUAACUUAUUCCAUUAUCACGACAGCACCUCUGCAACAUAAUGCUGCUCCACCACGGCGGAAAGAGCGUGGUUUCCUUGAGGAAUGGUAAUUUCUUUAAACUUGUUAAAAUUCUAACUGAAUUGCAUGGAUUAUAAUAUCCCGAACAAUAAUAAAAUAUUACCCUUUUUUA